UCACGUGUACAGACACCAUGCAGGAUAUAGGGCAGAAACCACAAUGUGCACUACACAUUCCUUGGAAUGUCAUGUUGAUUUGUGUAGGGCCAAAAGUUCUUCUUUACCCGAGUUUAUUUCUCAUGUCAAAAUGCACAUUAAAGAGGGACGAAAAGUCACAUGCCCUUUCAAGCAGUGUGGUAAAACAUUUACUGUUAAAUCAACAUUUACCUCUCAUUUGUCCAGAAAACAUAACAAAAAUAUAGAAGGCCUAAUUGACUCUAUUACAGCAAACCCUGAAGCCAGCUGCUCUCAGAUUCAAGACAUUGAUGUUCAGACUGAUGCUGAUGAAAAUGAUGAGGAACCAGAUGUUAGUCCUGAAAAUGUUGACAACACUUUGUUUUUAAGGAAUCUUGCUCUGUUCUAUUUGAAAUUGCAAGCCAAGCUAUUGCUUCCAGCCUCAGUCAUUCAGACAAUCAUUGAAGACAUGCAGUCAAUACAUGAAAUCAAUCAGUCCCAUUUGCUUUUCAGACUUCAGGAAAAGUUAAUCUCACUUAAUGUUCCAGAAGCAAUGAUAAAAAUGGUACUUGACGAUCUUAAAGCUGAAGAUCUUUUUACAUCCUGUAAUAGCCACAAAUUAAGAUCAGAUCAGCGAAGAAAAACAUUUUUCAAGAAAAGCUUUCAUUAUGUUGAGCCUGUGCCUAUUCGCCUAGGACAGAAUGAAGCAGGUAAAGAGUGUUUUGUGCAGUAUGUACCAGUAAAAAAAACAAUUGAAUCUCUCCUUCACUGCAAGUCUGUAAGAGAACAGUACAAUGAUGUGCACAGUCGUGUCCGGUUGAAGGACAUUUUAAAGGAUGUUUGGGAUGGUGAAAACAUAACUGCAAACUUGCAUCAUGCAGAUGAAUCUGCAUUAGGCUUGGUCUUAUAUCAAGAUGCUUUUGAGGUUGCGAACCCUCUUGGGUCUGGGAAAAAAAAGCAUAAAAUUCUAGCUAUGUACCUCACAUUAGCAGAUCUAUUUCCUCAUAAUAGAUCAAGUACUGACCAAAUGCAACUGGUGUUUCUCUGCAGGGAACAAGACUUUAAGUACUUUGGUCAAGAAUUGGUCAUGAGGUGCUUAAUCAAUGACCUUAAAGACCUUGAGACUACAGGCGUAGAUUUUCCAGAUGGACUGAACGUUAAAGGAAUCUUGCAGGCAAUAGCUGGUGACAAUUUAGGCUCACAUAGCAUUGGUGGGUUUCUGGAGAAUUUCAGCGGAAGUAGAUACUUUUGCAGAUAUUGCGAAAUUGAAAAAUAUACUUUUCAGGAAAAUCCACUUUCCAGAGCCACAUUUCGUACAGCAGAGUCUUACAAACAUCACGUUGAGAACCUUGAUAAGGGUUUGGACCAUAGUGGAGGCAUCAAGUUUGACUCUUUGUUCAAUGAGCUCUCCUUCUAUCAUGUCUCUCAGCCAGGGUUGCCCCCAUGCCUUGGACAUGAUUUAUUUGAAGGUGUUGUGUCGUAUGACCUUGCUUUAUGCAUACAACAUCUUGUAAAGGUUGACAGACAGUUUACGUAUCUGGAAUUGAAUCGAAGGAUUAGUCAGUUCAAGUUUCUAGGUAAUGACAACUGUGACAGACCGUGUGAGAUUAACCCAGGAAGUGAGAAGCUAAGUGGGCAUGCUGUACAGAACUGGUGUUUUUUGAGGAUGCUGCCAAUGUUAAUUGGUGACCAAAUUGAAUCACCUGGUGAGAAUGAAGUUUGGCAACUAAUUUUACUGUUAAGGGAAAUUGUUGCACUUGUUUGUGCACCAGUCAUUUACAGUGGUCAGAUAGGGUAUUUGAGAGUUUUGAUUGAUGAGUACCUAUAUUUUAGGAAACACAUGUUCCCUACUUACUCUCUCAGACCUAAACAUCAUUACCUUAGCCACUACCCAGAGCUCAUUAUUCAUUUUGGACCACUCAUCCGUUUGUGGACAUUAAGAUUCGAAAGUAAGCACAUGUAUUUCAAACAGUGUGUAAGAAAACUACAUAACUUUAAAAAUCUGUGCUUUACUCUCUCAGAAAGACAUCAGCUUCUGCAGGCGUUUCUUCAUGCUGGUGAGCUCUUCCCUCCUUCUAUUGUAGCAGAAAAGGCAACAGAGUUUGUGGUGAGUGACUACAAUGAUGUCAUAAGAGAGUCUGUAUCUGGAUAUGAUUUUCAGCCUGAAAAUUCUUUGGUUUCUCAUGAGGCAACUGUGAAAGGCACAACAUACAAAAAAAACAUGUAUGUUGUCAUUCAUGAAACUGAUGAGGGGCUUAUUGUGGGGAGGAUUGUGAUGACAGUCAUACACAAUACUUCAGUGUACUUCAUCACAGAACUUUUCCAAACUUACAGUAUCCCUGACAUGGGUGUUCAUUGCUUGACACCAAUGAAUGGAUCCUACACUUGUGUUAAUCAGAAUGACCUUCUGGAUUAUUAUCCAUUGUCAAAAUACACAGUGUUUGAUAUGUCUGUAAUAGUUCUUCAUCAUUCUUUUGUCUCAAUUUAAAGCAAUGUCCGCCUUGGUCGGAGAACUGAGGGAAAUCAUCCUCAGGGCUUUGCCGUCAAAUGAUGAGAACACCACACAGCUUUUGAUUGACAAACUUGUAGGCUCGGGAUUGGAAUCCAAAGAUGAUCUUCAGUUUGUUCAACAAGAAGACAUCAGUGACAUACUACCAACUAUAAAACUCAGAAAACUUCUCAAUGCUUUUAAAAUGGAGUCAGAAACUGUCACUUUGGAUCUCACCACUAUGCAGCACACUCCUUCCUUAUCAGCUGGGAGCUCCUCACCACAGCCAUGCUCUUCUAAUAUGUCGGUAACUACUGAUGGAGGAUCAAGCAGUCUUGAAAACAGUCAACCAUCUACAUCCCAUUUUAGGAAAUCGUGGUCAAAUACCUUUCAGGUACCAUGGCAGCUCAUGCCUGCAGAAAUACAGUCUGCUCUCUCUUCUGGGAAGAGACCUUCACCACCAGCAAGACGACAAAUGGUCAGGGUGCUUGCCGAUGAAAUGAGAAAAUUUGAGCCAACACCAACACGUGCACAGUGUCUUACUAUUUGUAAAGCGAUUGUCCAUCAAUAUCCCCAGAGCUUUGCGGAUCAACUUCAUGAUGGCCGAGUUGUAGGGGAAGGUUACAGCUCACUUUUGGCCCAGAUCAAGAAUAGAAUUGAUAACCUCAGCCGGGCCACUAGCUUCCGACAGCACCGGUCAGCUGACAGUGGUCUUAAAAGAGGACCCACUGACACAUAUGGUUGCACCCGGUUUCAGCCUGAUCUUCCUUUAGAUGAGACUGAUGUCUCCAUUGAGACUAAACGUCAGAAGCUGGAGGAUCUAUUCUGUCAAGAAGGUGCAAAGGGAGCUGAGAAAGCUGAGGUUGAAAAACUGAUGGAGACAACUUUCUGCCUGCAACGGAGCCAAAUAAAUAGUGUGCCAGCACCUUCUGUUGCGGAGUUGAUGGAAAAGUGGCCAUACCUCUUUUUUCAGAAAGGCCUGUUCGCCCAUUUUGAGCUGCUCACUGAUAUUAAUGUCCUGCGUGCACUUGAACUUUCUAUGGAGGAGUGUGGAAAGAGCAUCUUAGAGUUUUUUAAAAGCAAGCCUACCAACUCAGAAGUCAAGUCAAUCCUUUCCAAAGAUGAACCCAUUGAUUCAACAUACCAAAUUGUUCAACUCCUAAUGGCUCACUUCAUGGAAAAGCAAGAUGGACUCAUUCUUCAAGAAAAUAUGUCUGCCACUCCUGCUGACCUCGAAAAGAUGGGGAACCUGCCUGUGAGUCCUCGUUUGAUCCUGCUUGGUGAUAAUCCGGGCCAAUGGAUGAAACAAUGGAUGAUCAGCCUCGAAGGCCGAAUAAUCUGCGAGGGUGUGCAGCCAACCUUUAUCUCUGGACUUGCUGCAUUGUUCUCUUCGUAUUACAUUUUUAAUUUGCAGUACCAAGAGGAAGCAGCAUCCACACUAGAAUUCCUUCAAAGACGUUUUGUUGGAAUUAAUCCAGAAAAGGGGACCAAAGCUGCAAGGGGAAAGGUGAUGUCCAAAAAAUCUGGGAAAACCGUGCAGAAGAAGACCAUAACCGUCAGUAACAAAGUUUCAAAUCUUUUAAAAAGACUUAUGGACUUUGAGUGGCACUUCAUUUAAAAUGUAGCUGACACUCCCCACUCAUGCAGUUUGUUUUCAGAAACAUUGUCAUCUGGUGUUAUAUUUUGUUUAUACAGAGUUAUUUAGAUAUUAAAAAAGGCUGGUGUUUUUUAAAGCCUGAUUUAAGAGUUUUUAUUUAUUUUUAUUAUUAUUUAUUUUAAAUAAUUACUUUGUCUUAGUGCAACUGUUUUUGGGCUAAUGUUUGCCAAAGCCUCAUUUGACACUAGAUUUGUAUUUUAUAUAGAGGUAAGUCAAUUCUAUAUAUUUUGUAUUUGUUUGCUUUUUCUUAAGCCAUUUUUGCAUUUUGAUGGGUGCUUAAUUGUAUGCACUGAAUAGUACUUGACUAGUAUUUUUUUAUUUGCCUAUUUUAGUUUAAAAUAAUUGAGCAGAAUUUAUCUGGUGUUGUAUCAGAAUAAUAAAAAAAAUACUAACUUGUCUUUAUUCCUUUUUUGUAAUCCAUGACAAAAAUAAUGUGCAGGGUUAUAAUAGCAUUUAGAAUUGAAAUUAUUGUGGUUUCAUUGUAAAAACU